rnacentral:lncRNA from 1 species
CUCCGGCCAUCUCAGGUCAGUGCAGGCUCGGGCAUGCCCCUGCCUCAGCCCCGAGGCAUGCUGGUGGCAGGUGACCUGAACAGGAGGUCUAAACAGCUGUUUGGUGCCUGUCUAUUUGCAAUAGCUGUGGUCCUCUAACCUGUGCCUGUGAGCCACCAAGAGUGAACGGAAACUAGAAGCAUUGCCACCAACAACUGGAGCAGUGACCACACUGAAGUUUCUCUGUCGAGGGGGAAGGGGAGUAAGGAGAAAAAAAAAAAAAAAAGGCAAGUAAGCAAGCAAGCCAGCAAGCACAGGAGCACACUCUCGUGGAGGCCCACACCCUCCCUGUGCCUACCCAAGAUGUGUCAGUCAGAGAAGCAUCCAGGACCGGAGCUCCAAGCAGCAGCAAAAUG